UUCCGCCGGCGUCUGUCCGGUGCGUCAUCGCUCGCGUACGGGAGCAAGACUACGCUUGCGCCGCGGGAAUGAGUCUGUCGAUGUUUGGUUUUGUUCUCGUGGUAACAGCGGUCAGAGAUUAGCCUGUCUCUGUCCUUCCUGAUCCUUCUAGGACGGCAGAUGACCGUUUUGAAAACGACUCCUCCAUCGCUCUGAAUGCAAUGAGUGAACUCCACAGCCGCCCCGGGCCCUGCAGGAAGUGCUGUCGCCUGCGUGGACCCGGGUCCCUGACACACCUGCAGGUGCCGGCGCUGGCCGGGGAGCCAGUGGAGCAAACCUGCCUUCCCGGGAGGCUAAUUCACGACUGCCUGUCAUUUGCUUGGAGCUGAACAAUGCCUGAGACCGUGGUUCUCCUCCUUUUAGGAAACAUGUAUAAUUAUCGUUAUAAUUUAUUAAAGGUGACUGUUGCCAAGAAACUGACCGGAUGAAUGUGAUCGUGAGAAAGAACUGUAAUUUUUGGGCUUUGCCCAGAACAGGUUCUAGUGUCUCCCUCUCCUCACUCUCAGUGCUAGACAGAGUCUACAAGAUGGUGUAUUCUGGUGAGAAGGCCCCACUAUAUUGCGUACUUUAGAUCUCUUCAGCAGAUACACCAGCCAAUCGCAAGCCAAAGCGAGGAGGAGGGAGCCGGGACCAGGGCCAGCAGAAGGAGAGAAGAGAGCGCCCAUUUGUCCUCGAACCGAUUAAGAAGCCUUCUUUAUGUCACCUUAGACUUCCCCUCACCCCGCCCUCACGGGCGGGCAUGUUCCGGCCCACCUGUCCGGGUUACCUGGGGCGGAGCUAGAGUGUCUCCCUACACCCAACCCCAGGCCUCAAAGGCUGGCAUAAGCCUUUCUGGUCAACCUGGGACAAAACACCAUUAACCAGCCCUGACCUCCCACCCCCAUAGCUGAACUGUCUCUUAUACGGAAGACAACUAAUGAGUCAUCCUGGAUUCACUUUACUUUGAACAGGUCCUCACUCAAUGGGCAAUACAACUACAGACUUACUUUGAUUGGUAUAGUCAGCUAAAAGCUGUGCUGGAGCCAGCCACCUUUCUUUGAUGGAAAUUGGCCUAUGAUGAUCAGGCAGAAACUCAAGCACAAUGAACCUCUUAAUUCAUGUCCCAGUGACCCUUGACAUGCUCACUGGUUGAGGUAACUUUAUCCAUCCCCUCCAUCAAGCACAGAUUGGCCACAAGCCUACUAUCAACAGGUUUCUUCGGACCUAGCCUUCUUCAUGGGAUCCUUCAGCUUAUUUCCUCAAUCUUAUUCAACAGCCAAGGGAACUUUUUACUGAUUAUCUCGCACAUGUCAAUGAGGUGAUGGAGUGGAGAGUAGAUCCGGGCCCCACUAGAAAAAUGUUAAUCAAACAAUUGAUUUGGGAAGGGCUUAAUGUCUCCACCUGCAAUGUUGUCACAGCGGUCCAAGAUGAGGACAUUCACAAGUGAGUACUGGCCAGAAGAGAUCUUGAUGCCAGACAGACGUUGGUGGCACACACCAUUAAUCCCAGCACUUGGGAGGCAGAGGCAGGCGGAUCUCUGUGAGUUCGAGACCAGCCUGGUCUACAGAGAGUGUGCCAGGAUAGGCUCCAAAGCUACACAGAGAAACCCUGUCUUGAAAAGCAGAGAGAGAGAAAGAGAGAGAGAGAGAGAGAGAGAGAGAGAGAGAGAGAGAGAGAGAGAGAGAUCUUGAUGCCAGUAACAGUCCCAUCACUGCUCUGCUCCCACCACUUCCCUGGAUGCCCUCCUUGCAGACAGGCAGUGCACCCAUGACACACCUAGGGCCCCCAUGUAGAUAGAUAUUGCUGAGGAUGUGGCAAACCAGGACAUCUACGGUGUGACUACCGCAGGGCAAAACCUAGGACCCGAUGUCCAUGAUGCAAUAAGGAAUUUCAUUGGGCAAAGGACUGCAGAUCACAGCCUGCUGAAGCACCUGCUCCUUUAAACUCCAGGCAGAGCGCUCCUCAGCCCUGCCAGUAAGAGGAGACUCUGGUAAUUCAAAAAUCAACUGGACAUGUCCCAUUUUUCCAUGCUCCCGAUGCUGACCAUCUUUCUUGAUGGACAAACUGUCAGAGGCUUGGUAGACACGGGUGUGGACAUCACCAUAUUAACAGAAACAGAGGUGCUUCGCCUUCCCCAUUGGAAAUUUAGACCUGGCCCUCCCAUCAGUGAAGGAGGAGGUCAACAAUAUUCAAAACUUACCCCCAGUCCAGUCCAUUGGAAAGAUCUUGAUGGCCCUUAUUAUGGAUACAUCAAAAACAUUUUGAUCUGUGCAAAGUCACCUCUAAGUCUGAUUAAUCUUUGCAACUUGGCCUUAAGGGACAAAUGCUGGCAUGGAGAACAUAUGGAUGAGAGCCACAUAAGCUUGUCUUCCCCUUUUCUUCAAAGAAUAUCCAGGCCCUCUGGGCAGAAUGAGAUAUCAUUUCAGGAAAUGGGGUUGCAGGAUCCACAGGGACUCUUGACAAUCACUUGCCAAAAAAAAAAAAUCUUAGCAGGACUCCCUACACUUCCAAUAAAAAUACUUACAGUCCCACGUAGUCCCCUCCUCCACUCCCAUCCCUCAUGCCACGCUGGACUUUUCAGAUUCCAAUAAAAACAGAUAUGGUAUUCUUUUCCAGCA